AUGCGAUACUUGGUGUGAAUUGCAGAAUCUCGUGAACCAUUGAGUCUUUGAACGCAAGUUGUGCCCGAGGCCUUGUGGCCGAGGGCACGCCUGCUUGGGCGUCAUGG
rnacentral:rRNA from 2 species